rnacentral:siRNA from 1 species
GGUUUCUUUGUCCGUUGCUAUGGU